UGUGAGGCAUGCUGGAGGUAUCAGAAGUGCGAAUGCUGACAUAAGUAACGAUAAAGCGGGUGAAAAGCCCGCUCGCCGGAAGACCAAGGGUUCCUGUCCAACGUUAAUCGGGGCAGGGUGAGUCGACCCCUAAGGCGAGGCCGAAAGGCGUAGUCGAUGGGAAACAGGUUAAUAUUCCUGUACUUGGUGUUACUGCGAAGGGGGGACGGAGAAGGCUAUGUUGGCCGGGCGACGGUUGUCCCGGUUUAAGCGUGUAGGCUGGUUUUCCAGGCAAAUCCGGAAAAUCAAGGCUGAGGCGUGAUGACGAGGCACUACGGUGCUGAAGCAACAAAUGCCCUGCUUCCAGGAAAAGCCUCUAAGCAUCAGGUAACAUCAAAUCGUACCCCAAACCGACACAGGUGGUCAGGUAGAGAAUACCAAGGCGCUUGAGAGAACUCGGGUGAAGGAACUAGGCAAAAUGGUGCCGUAACUUCGGGAGAAGGCACGCUGAUAUGUAGGUGAAGUCCCUCGCGGAUGGAGCUGAAAUCAGUCGAAGAUACCAGCUGGCUGCAACUGUUUAUUAAAAACACAGCACUGUGCAAACACGAAAGUGGACGUAUACGGUGUGACGCCUGCCCGGUGCCGGAAGGUUAAUUGAUGGGGUUAGCCGCAAGGCGAAGCUCUUGAUCGAAGCCCCGGUAAACGGCGGCCGUAACUAUAACGGUCCUAAGGUAGCGAAAUUCCUUGUCGGGUAAGUUCCGACCUGCACGAAUGGCGUAAUGAUGGCCAGGCUGUCUCCACCCGAGACUCAGUGAAAUUGAACUCGCUGUGAAGAUGCAGUGUACCCGCGGCAAGACGGAAAGACCCCGUGAACCUUUACUAUAGCUUGACACUGAACAUUGAGCCUUGAUGUGUAGGAUAGGUGGGAGGCUUAGAAGUGUGGACGCCAGUCUGCAUGGAGCCGACCUUGAAAUACCACCCUUUAAUGUUUGAUGUUCUAACGUUGACCCGUAAUCCGGGUUGCGGACAGUGUCUGGUGGGUAGUUUGACUGGGGCGGUCUCCUCCUAAAGAGUAACGGAGGAGCACGAAGGUUGGCUAAUCCUGGUCGGACAUCAGGAGGUUAGUGCAAUGGCAUAAGCCAGCUUGACUGCGAGCGUGACGGCGCGAGCAGGUGCGAAAGCAGGUCAUAGUGAUCCGGUGGUUCUGAAUGGAAGGGCCAUCGCUCAACGGAUAAAAGGUACUCCGGGGAUAACAGGCUGAUACCGCCCAAGAGUUCAUAUCGACGGCGGUGUUUGGCACCUCGAUGUCGGCUCAUCACAUCCUGGGGCUGAAGUAGGUCCCAAGGGUAUGGCUGUUCGCCAUUUAAAGUGGUACGCGAGCUGGGUUUAGAACGUCGUGAGACAGUUCGGUCCCUAUCUGCCGUGGGCGCUGGAGAACUGAGGGGGGCUGCUCCUAGUACGAGAGGACCGGAGUGGACGCAUCACUGGUGUUCGGGUUGUCAUGCCAAUGGCACUGCCCGGUAGCUAAAUGCGGAAGAGAUAAGUGCUGAAAGCAUCUAAGCACGAAACUUGCCCCGAGAUGAGUUCUCCCUGACUCCUUGAGAGUCCUGAAGGAACGUUGAAGACGACGACGUUGAUAGGCCGGGUGUGUAAGCGCAGCGAUGCGUUGAGCUAACCGGUACUAAUGAACCGUGAGGCUUAACCUU
rnacentral:rRNA from 1 species